rnacentral:rRNA from 1 species
GACGAACGCUGGCGGCGUGCCUAAUACAUGCAAGUUGAGCGAUGAAGAUUGGUGCUUGCACCAAUUUGAAGAGCAGCGAACGGGUGAGUAACGCGUGGGGAAUCUGCCUUUGAGCGGGGGACAACAUUUGGAAACGAAUGCUAAUACCGCAUAAUAACUUUAAACAUAAGUUUUAAGUUUGAAAGAUGCAAUUGCAUCACUCAAAGAUGAUCCCGCGUUGUAUUAGCUAGUUGGUGAGGUAAAGGCUCACCAAGGCGAUGAUACAUAGCCGACCUGAGAGGGUGAUCGGCCACAUUGGGACUGAGACACGGCCCAAACUCCUACGGGAGGCAGCAGUAGGGAAUCUUCGGCAAUGGACGAAAGUCUGAACGAGCAACGCCGCGUGAGUGAAGAAGGUUUUCGGAUCGUAAAACUCUGUUGGUAGAGAAGAACGUUGGUGAGAGUGGAAAGCUCAUCAAGUGACGGUAACUAACCAGAAAGGGACGGCUAACUACGUG